rnacentral:misc_RNA from 1 species
UACUCUCACACUCCUAAUCGCUUUGGAUUGGGAGCGGUGGACUUUGGGUGCUGCUGCUUGACUGUGGCUCACUUGAAAUAUGUUAGUGCACCUCCUGAUUGGACAUAGUACGGCGUGAUAAGUGUCUUCGCCGGCUCCUCGCAAAGAGGGUGGCCGAUUGGGAGCUCUGUGCUUCAAACUGUCUUCGGACAAUCUUCUGGCG